rnacentral:rRNA from 1 species
AUACGGAGGGGGCUAGCGUUGUUCGGAAUUACUGGGCGUAAAGCGCGCGUAGGCGGCUUAUCAAGUUAGGCGUGAAAGGCCUGGGCUCAACCCGGGAACUGCGCUUAAUACUGGUAGACUUGAGUCCGGGAGAGGGUGGCGGAAUUCCCAGUGUAGAGGUGAAAUUCGUAGAUAUUGGGAAGAACACCAGUGGCGAAGGCGGCCACCUGGCCCGGUACUGACGCUGAGGUGCGAAAGCGUGGGGAGCAAACAGGAUUAGAAACCCGAGUAGUCC